UCUAACCCAGAGGCUCCUCCAUGCUAGGCAAGUGCUGGCCCACUGAGCUACAUCCCGAGCCCUCGGGUCUGAAUUAUGGAACAGGCAAAUCUGGUUCAAAAGAAAAGGGCCAAUGUUGCAAUGAAUUCCUACAUCUACGCUGAAUAGGGCAAAGCCAAUUCCAAGGGCUCUUUCUUUUCUGGAAGGACAUAUUUUUUGUUUGACCAAGUACAGGUAGGCCUCAAGAUAUAUAUUUUUUUAGUUGUAAUACCUUUAUUUUAUUUAUUUAUUUUCUUAUGGUGCUGAGGAUGGAACCCAGUGCCUCACACAUGCUAGGCAAGUGCUGUACCACUGAGCCAUGACCCCAGCUCCAAAGCUUCAAGAGAUCUUGGGGUGCAUCCCAUGACAUGGAAAACUUACUGCAAGUUCUGCUGUGCUCUGAGCACAACAACAGCCUGACUUCCUCAUUCUGCAGAAGAGAUGUCUACCCUGGCCAUCCCCAAUGUGGUUGGGCUCCUGACUUCAACCUCCUGCUCCAGCCUCCAUGAACUGGCAAAGGGUCUCACUAAGUUGUCCAGGCAGGGCUGGAACUUGGGAUCCACCCACCUCAGCCUCCCGAGUAACUAGGAUCACAGACGUGAGACACAGUGUCUGGCCAUCCAUCGUCUCUUGAUUGCACAUCCAUGGACAAGGAAUCUACUCUGUAGCUUCCAUCUCAGUCAUCCUUCUCUUCUUCUUGAGGUUCCUUUGGUGCGGGUGUGUGCAGGACCCCCAGCAAUGAUUCCUCUUCAUACACACUCGCUCUUUGAGCAAGCUUCUCAGACCCACAGCUUCUACCACUGUCCCUAUGCAGAGACUGUUGAGUGGCGGGCAGCAUGCCAAAGAACGCCAAAUAAUUGCAAGCUGAGGAGACCACAUGAUGGAAGAUGGUUGAGAGAAGAAGAAGAAAAAACCCCGAUAAUGAUGUGUUUGGGUUCCACAGAAGUCAAGUCCUGGGUCCUUCAUGUGACUAUGGGCAAGUUAGCACCCUACCUAAGUCCUGGAUCUCUCAUCCACAGAACUGUGAUAAGAAUAGUUCCUACUUCAUAGGGUUGUUAUGAGGAUUAAGUGGGACGUUUCUAGAGCAAGCAGCCAGUUCUCAGCAUUAUUACUGGCUCUUCUUAUUUUCAGGGAGGCCGUGGAGAGAAGCAAAAUAAACCAGGAAAUGGUCAUUUGUUCCUGGGACUUGAAACGCUUGGGGCAGUGGGCUGGUGGAGUUUAUCUGCUAACCCAGAACUCAGAGGUCUCAGGGCGGAGGGCAGGAGUAGGCAGCCGGUUCCCAGGAGGCUGCCCUCCUUCUGCCCAUGUGGAUGACCUUGCAAACACCUGACAGGGUGAGUUCAGCAAACACGUGGUUGGCCACAGUGCCCUCCAUGCAUGCCUGUCCCUGGCAUUCCUGAGAUAGUCUGUCCUGCAGUGGAGGGGGUGGGGGUGCUGGUGGAUUAGAAUGUUAAACAGCUUGAAGCCAGGGGAGAAGUCCACCUUUUGUACCAGGUAUUUGUGUGUGUGUGUGUGUGGGGGGGAGACAGACACAAUCACUGGAGGAAAAAGCCUCGUCCUUAAGAAAUACGUUGAGCUUGCCCUUCACACUUGUCCAGUUGCCAGGUCCUGAACUACACACAGCUGCUGUUUGUCUAUGAUUACAGGCCCUAAAAGUAUCUGCGGUGGCUGGAGCCAGCUUGUCCAG